rnacentral:rRNA from 1 species
CAAGUCGCACGAGAAAGUGGAGCAAUCCAUGAGUAAAGUGGCGCACGGGUGAGUAACACGUGAAUGAUCUACCUCCGAGUGGGGAAUAACCUAGAGAAAUCUGGGCUAAUACCGCAUAACACUUACGAGUCAAAGCAGCAAUGCGCUUGGAGAGGAGUUCGCGGCCGAUUAGUUAGUUGGCGGGGUAAUGGCCCACCAAGACGAUGAUCGGUAUCCGGCCUGAGAGGGCGCACGGACACACUGGAACUGAAACACGGUCCAGACUCCUACGGGAGGCAGCAGUGGGGAAUUUUGCGCAAUGGGGGAAACCCUGACGCAGCAACGCCGCGUGGAGGAUGAAAUCCCUUGGGAUGUAAACUCCUUUCGAUCGGGACGAUUAUGACGGUACCGGAAGAAGAAGCCCCGGCUAACUUCGUGCCAGCAGCCGCGGUAAUACGAGGGGGGCAAGCGUUGUUCGGAAUUAUUGGGCGUAAAGGGCGCGUAGGCGGUUUGACAAGUCUGAUGUGAAAUCUCUGGGCUCAACUC